AGAGUUUGAUCCUGGCUCAGAGCGAACGCUGGCGGCAGGCCUAACACAUGCAAGUCGAGCGGUCGUAGCAAUACGGCAGCGGCAGACGGGAGAGUAACACGUGGGAACGUGCCCUUUGGUUCGGAACAACACAGGGAAACUUGUGCUAAUACCGGAUAAGCCCUUACGGGGAAAGAUUUAUCGCCAAAGGAUCGGCCCGCGUCUGAUUAGCUAGUUGGUGGGGUAACGGCCCACCAAGGCGACGAUCAGUAGCUGGUCUGAGAAGAUGAUCAGCCUCACUGGGACUGAGACACGGCCCAGACUCCUACGGGAGGCAGCAGUGGGGAAUAUUGGACAAUGGGCGCAAGCCUGAUCCAGCCAUGCCGCGUGGAUGAUGAAGGCCCUAGGGUUGUAAAGUCCUUUCGGCGGGGAAGAUAAUGACGNACCCGCAGAAG
rnacentral:rRNA from 1 species